UACAGAGGGUGCGAGCGUUAAUCGGAAUCACUGGGCGUAAAGCGCACGUAGGCGGAUCUUUAAGUCAGGGGUGAAAUCCUGGAGCUCAACUCCAGAACUGCCUUUGAUACUGGGGAUCUCGAGUCCGGGAGAGGUGAGUGGAACUGCGAGUGUAGAGGUGAAAUUCGUAGAUAUUAGGAAGAACACCAGUGGCGAAGGCGGCUUACUGGUCCGGUACUGACGCUGAGGCGCGAAAGCGUGGGGAGCAAACAGG
rnacentral:rRNA from 1 species